rnacentral:rRNA from 1 species
GUGGCGAACGGGUGAGUAAUGUAUGGACAACCUGCCCUCGAGUCUGGGAUAACAGCGGGAAACUGCUGCUAAUACCGGAUGGCCCCGGUAGGAGGUACUCCGGCCGGGUAAAGGUGGUCACACCGCUCGAGGAGGGGUCCAUAUCCCAUCAGCUUGUUGGUGAGGUAACGGCUCACCAAGGCGACGACGGGUAGCCGGACUGAGAGGUCGACCGGCCACAUCGGGACUGAGACACUGCCCGGACUCCUACGGGAGGCUGCAGUCGAGAAUCUUCCGCAAUGGGCGCAAGCCUGACGGAGCGACGCCGCGUGGAGGACGAAGGCCUUCGGGUUGUAAACUCCUGUCACUCGCGAAGAACGCCCAGGGUAGCCCCCGGGGCUGACGUUAGCGAGAGAGGAAGCCACGGCUAACUUCGUGCCAGCAGCCGCGGUAAGACGAAGGUGGCAACCGUUGCUCGGAU